rnacentral:rRNA from 1 species
AUACGGAGGGUGCAAGCGUUGUUCGGAUUUAUUGGGCGUAAAGCGAGUGUAGGCGGUUUGACAAGUCGAAUGUGAAAUCCCGGGGCCCAACCUCGGAACUGCAUCCGAAACUGUCAGGCUAGAGUCCCGGAGAGGAUGGCGGAAUUCCCGGUGUAGGGGUGAAAUCCGUAGAUAUCGGGAGGAACACCAGUGGCGAAGGCGGCCAUCUGGACGGUGACUGACGCUGAGACUCGAAAGCGUGGGUAGCAAACAGGAUUAGAUACCCCAGUAGUCC